UACGAAGGGGGCUAGCGUUGCUCGGAAUCACUGGGCGUAAAGGGUGCGUAGGCGGGUUCUUAAGUCAGAGGUGAAAUCCUGGAGCUCAACUCCAGAACUGCCUUUGAUACUGAGAGUCUUGAGUUCGGGAGAGGUGAGUGGAACUGCGAGUGUAGAGGUGAAAUUCGUAGAUAUUCGCAAGAACACCAGUGGCGAAGGCGGCUCA
rnacentral:rRNA from 1 species